UACGUAGGGUGCAAGCGUUAAUCGGAAUUACUGGGCGUAAAGCGUGCGCAGGCGGUCUUUGCAAGACAGAUCGUGAAAUCCCCGGGCGUCAACCUGGGUACUGCAUUUGUGACUGCAAGGCUGGAGUGCGGGCAGAGGGGGAUGGAAUUCCGCGUGUAGCAGUGAAAUGCGUAGAUAUGCGGAGGAACACCGAUGGCGAACGGCGAAUCCCCUGGGCCUGCACUGACGCUCAUGCNCGAAAGCGUGGGGAGCAAACAGGAUUAGAUACCCGUGUAGUU
rnacentral:rRNA from 1 species